UACGAAGGGUGCAAGCGUUAAUCGGAAUUACUGGGCGUAAAGGGUGCGUAGGCGGUUCGUUAAGUCUGUCGUGAAAUCCCCGGGCUCAACCUGGGAAUGGCGAUGGAUACUGGCGAGCUAGAGUGUGUCAGAGGAUGGUGGAAUUCCCGGUGUAGAGGUGAAAUUCGUAGAUAUCGGGAGGAACACCGGUGGCGAAGGCGGCGAUCUGGGUAGAUACUGACGCUGAGGUGCGAAAGCGUGGGGAGCAAACAGG
rnacentral:rRNA from 1 species